GACGAACGCUGGCGGCGUGCUUAACACAUGCAAGUCGAACGGAAAGGCCCUGCUUUUGUGGGGUGCUCGAGUGGCGAACGGGUGAGUAACACGUGAGUAACCUGCCCUUGACUUUGGGAUAACUUCAGGAAACUGGGGCUAAUACCGGAUAGGAGCUCCUGCUGCAUGGUGGGGGUUGGAAAGUUUCGGCGGUUGGGGGUGGACUCGCGGCUUAUCAGCUUGUUGGUGGGGUAGUGGCUUACCAAGGCUUUGACGGGUAGCCGGCCUGAGAGGGUGACCGGCCACAUUGGGACUGAGAUACGGCCCAGACUCCUACGGGAGGCAGCAGUGGGGAAUAUUGCACAAUGGGCGGAAGCCUGAUGCAGCAACGCCGCGUGCGGGAUGACGGCCUUCGGGUUGUAAACCGCUUUCGCCUGUGACGAAGCGCGAGUGGCGGUAAUGGGUAAAGAAGCACCGGCUAACUACGUG
rnacentral:rRNA from 1 species